rnacentral:lncRNA from 1 species
AACAAUCCAACUAAAUUGAACUAACUGGUUCUAUUUAGGCUAAAAUGUGAAUAAUUUUGUUCUUAUAUUUUUAAUAUAAUUAUGGUACAUUUAUCUAGAAUAAACUUUUCCGAAGAAAAAGAAUAAUGUGGAAGAGUCAAAACGACAUUAUCACUCUCAAAACCUUCAAGGCGAAAUGCAGCUAACACAUUAUCAAGGUUGAGAUUGGAGGUUCUUAUACAUGCAGCUAACGGAUUAUGAGGUUAAGACGCUAAUUUUAUGGGUUGAACAAAAAAAAACACAAAAAGACACCAAUUUUAUGAUAUUUUUUCUUUUCGGAUAUAAUAUUGAGAAAUACAGAAAACAUAAGUCUCUUAUCACUCAUUUUCCUCGCUUGCAUCUUUACUCUAGUUUGCAAUAAUUUUGAAACUUAAGUAGCUCUAGAUUUUUUUUUUUUUUUGAUAAAGAAUUUAAGUAGCUCUAGAUUUUGCACCAGUUAAUGCAGCAUAUAUGAACUCUAGAGAUUACAACAGUAAAAGAUCGAUUCAAAAGGUAACACUAGUGUCUAUAUAUUAUUCAACAACAUAACAUCGCACAAUUCCGCAUA